rnacentral:tRNA from 1 species
GCGGUACUAGCUCAGUUGGUAGAGCGUCUGGUUGCCAAUCAGAAGGCCGCCGGUUCGAACCCGGCGUACCGCACCA